GGACAGGCAGCUAGCCUCCCCUGGGGCAGGCAGGGACCAGAAGAGCCCCAGAGGGUCUUGUAGAACAGAGGCGGAGGAGGAGAGGACAGAAAGGACAGGGAGACAACCAAGGAGGCCCUGAAGAGACUGAAUGGGAGAGUGUGACUGCUCCCUGCAAAUCCUCCCCAUGUCUGGACUGAGGAAAUAGCUCGAAGCACCAUCCGUCUCCUGGUGGAGCAGCAGCAGCGUCCAGAGGCUGGGGGCUGAGGCUCCUUGUUUCCAACAAGCUCCUAGGUGAUGGAUGCUGCUGGCAGGUGCACCACACUGAGUUGCAAGACUCGUCCCUCCAGGCACCCCCUUCACAGGUUCAGCAUCCUCGCUGCCAUCUCCUCACAAAUGCGGGAAGGGAGCCACCACCCCAGGCUGGGCUAACUCGCAUGAGGACACCACUAACAUUGUCUGCGUUCCAUUUACGUUAGACAGGCAGGUCUACAAUGUUUGAAGUUUACAGAUUUCUUGGAUAUAGCAGUGAAAGGUUUGUAUUUUUUAUCUGUAAGGAAAAAUUGUGAAGUUUACAUCAUUGCAAAAUAAACAGAACUGUGACUUCUGUUUCACAA
rnacentral:lncRNA from 1 species